UGAAGCGUUAGUAUUUAUAUUGAGCUGUUCAGGAAGAGCUACGCUGAAAGGUUAAACAAUUCCGACAAUUGCGAUUUUGAAGUUCAUCGAAACUGCAACGUACAACACCAAAGACUAAUGGUGUGACUGCUGGUUAAAGCUUGCGCCUACGUGGUGAGGAAGAUUAGGGCUUCUCUUUCCGAGGGAGAACAGGAAGAGAAACCCACCCUUACACCAUGUAGUGCAAAAGCUAAAAGCAAAUCGGAGCAAAGAUCAAAGUCUUCCUCAACUGCUGCCCUGAACCCGGGACAUGAUGAAGGAGUCGACGGCGCAGCGGCAGCAGCAGGGACGUCCUCGGGGGCACCUGUGCAGAACUGUGGCUCCUGACGUUAAAUUUCUGACUGGAUGCUGGGACUGUGGUCAAUUCACUCUCAAAAGAUAAUUUAUAUAUUGGAAUUAAGUCGGAUGUUUCACUGCAAUGAAGUGACCACUUUAAUUGGAUGGCUGGUGUUAUUGACACAAAUCUAUAAACUAAGCACUAAAAGUCUUAAUUCGAAAACUUUCCAGUUUUUCACAGUUUCCAGAGUCGAGCUCAGAAUGUCCCAUAAAAUGGCCUUUUUCACAGCAGAUGUUUUGGCACCUCCUGAAAACAAGUGCAAUCAGUAACAUUAGUCGUGGGAAUUUCACUUUUGCUGUACUCAAGCGGAACAGAAAGUAAUGAGAGUAUCAUAUUGGUUAGAACUGAUAGAGUGUGUGGGUAGUUAAUGCAUUUCCUGUGAAAAAGGCCUCCCUUCAUGUACUGCAGCGUUUGACGGCUGGCUCACCAACCUCUGUACCCAGAGACUGAGCAGGCCUGAUGUUCCUGCUGUUACACCAGUAAACGUCAUUAUGUUAAAAAGCUCUGCUCGGGUAUUUAUACCUGUAUAAUAGACUUAUGCAUUAAAUAUUCAUAUCAGAAUAGGUAAUAUGCACAUCGCUGGAAAAAGUAAAUUAAUCUUAAAUUUAUAUCUUACAGAUGUGUUUAUUAAUAUAUUUGUUUGUAAAAUGUUAUAAGGUAUCAUUUGCAAUACAUUUGGAACUACAUUGUCAUACAUUGUGUUAUGCAUUUAAUUUCUUACAGCUUGAAAAUAAAAGAAUGCAAAGUCUA